GGAAGUAAGAGUCGUAACAAGGUCUCCGUAGGUGAACCUGCGGAGGGAUCAUUACAGAGUUCUCGCCCUACCGGGUAGAUCUCCCACCCACUGUUAUUGCUACUGUCGUUGCUUUGGCGGGCCGCCGGGCCCUGCCCGGCCGCCGGCCCCGGCUGGCGCGCGCCCGCCAAAGGCCCCUAAACUCUGAAUAUCAGUGUCGUCUGAGUACUAUACAAUAGUUAAAACUUUCAACAACGGAUCUCUUGGUUCUG
rnacentral:misc_RNA from 1 species